AGGGCCACAUAGUUAACUUGCAUUAGCUUUUGGUUUUCAACAUAGGAGUCCCUCCCCCUGACUUGCAUACGCUUAGUUUGUGUUGUAGCCCUCUUAAGUUAAUUAAGUAGAAGUUUAUGACACAGUAAAGUAAUAGCAGUGCUGUAGGAGGAUAGUAGUGUACGCCCCCUGGAUAGAGUAAACAUCCUGUCCAGAACAGAGACCCCCUUAUCUGUGAGACCAUGUGGUCCAUGCCUCAUUUUGCAGACUGGUAGAAGGCAGGGCAGCAUCACUUAGUUUUGCUCUGCAGAUUCCCUUGAAAAUCUAUGGCUUUUCUACCCUGAAAGUUUGGUCUGCUGCUGGAUUCGGUUGUUUAAGCUGUUGUUUUCGAUUUAUGACCUUCUUUUGAUGCUGUAUUGGUUUUAAUUUUAGUUGGUUUUAAAUCUUAGGUUUUUAUUGUUGGUUUAAAUUUUAAAUCUUCGUUCUAGGUUUUAGUUGUUGGUGUCUUUAUUUUUUAUCUGGUUUAUGGUUUUUGGUUGGUUUAUGGCUUGAAGUGAUUGAGUUGUUUUUUUGUCUAUUGGUUCUUGUCAUUUUAGAUUUUUUAGUCUAUUUUUGCUUCAUUUACUUAGUUUCAGUUGUGGUCAUUAUACUGAGUUUUUUUGGUUCAUAGCAGUUUUUUAUCUUUAGGGAAAGUCAAAGGUCAUUUACAUUUGCUUGGUUAGGAGAACAUCAAGGUUGGUCGAGUGUCAGGUACAAAAUCCGUUGUUCUUCGAGUCUCAUAAUUUUAUUUUUGGUUUAGUUUGUUUUUUUUAAUUGUCGUUCAGGAGAAAUAAAUGCGUUCCAGUGAUAGCUCUUGAA